rnacentral:rRNA from 1 species
UACGUAGGGGGCAAGCGUUGUCCGGAAUCAUUGGGCGUAAAGAGCGUGUAGGCGGCCCGAUAAGUCCGCUGUGAAAGUCCAGGGCUCAACCCUGGGAUGCCGGUGGAUACUGUCGGGCUCGAGUCCGGAAGAGGCGAGUGGAAUUCCUGGUGUAGCGGUGAAAUGCGCAGAUAUCAGGAGGAACACCAAUGGCGAAGGCGGCUCGCUGGGACGUGACUGACGCUGAGGAGCGAAAGCGUGGGGAGCGAACAGG